rnacentral:rRNA from 1 species
UACGGGGGGGGCAAGCGUUGUUCGGAAUUACUGGGCGUAAAGGGCUCGUAGGCGGCCAACUAAGUCGGACGUGAAAUCCCCAGGCUCAACCUGGGAACUGCAUCCGAUACUGGAUGGCUUGAAUUCGGGAGAGGGAUGCAGAAUUCCAGGUGUAGCGGUGAAAUGCGUAGAGAUGUGGAGGAACACCGAUGGCGAAGGCAGCCUCCUGGGCCAGCACUGACGCUCAUGCACGAAAGCGUGGGGAGCAAACAGG